GCUUGAGAGGGGUGGGUAAUCUUCAAACUGCGUCGUGCUGGGGAUAGAGCUUUGCAAUUAUUGCUCUUGAACGAGGAAUUCCUAGUAAGCGCGAGUCAUCAACUUGCGUUGAUUACGUCCCUGCCCUUUGUACACACCGCCCGUCGUUACUACCGAUUGAAUGGCUUAGUGAGGUUUUGGGAGCGCUGGGGAGGUGGGCGACCGCCUGCCUGGUGCAAACUUAAUCAAACUUGGUCAUUUAGAGGAAGUACAAGUCGUAACAAGGUUUCCGUAGGUGAACCUGCGGAAGGAUCAUUUCUGAAUCACGAAUACACAGUGAACUGCGCCGCUUGCGGCACUGCUUCCGGUUCGCCGGACCAACACAUAUCAAGAAUUCUGACAAGUUAAAGCAAAAACUUUCAACAACGGAUCUCUUGGUUCUCGCAUCGAUGAAGAACGCAGCAAAGCGCGAUAGGUAAUGCGAAUUGCAGACGUGAGUCAUUGAAUCUUUGAACGCACAUUGCGCCAGUCUCUGGCAUACUGCGUUGAGCGUCGGCCUUCCUCCACAAGGUAUUGCUCUUUGCAAGAGUGAAAAGGAUAGGCAGCACCCGUUAGCAACCGGUGUUUUAUAGUAUAUUUCGACCUCAGCGUAGUAAGAUCACCCGCUGAACUUAAGCAUAUCAAUAAGCGGAGGAAAAGAAACCAACAGGGAUUGCCUCAGUAAUGGCGAAUGAACAGGCAAAAGCUCAGAUUUGAAACCCUCGGGAUUGUAGUCUGAAGAUCUGGAUUUGGACGCUGACCAAGUCUCCUGGAACGGAGCGCCAUGGAGGGUGACAGCCCCGUAGCAGCACCGUAGUAAAUCCGGAUCAACGAGUCGAGUUGUUUGGGAAUGCAGCUCUAAGUGGGUGGUAUGCUCCAUCUAAGGCUAAAUAUUGGCGAGAGACCGAUAGCGAACAAGUACUGUGAAGGAAAGAUGAAAAGAACUUUGAAAAGAGAGUGAAAUAGUACGUGAAAUUGUUGAAAUGGAAGGCAAUGAGGCGCGAUUGACGCGGACGCGCGGGGGCAGGACAAAAGCGCAGGCCGCUUCGGCAUUGCCUGCGUGCAUACUGCCACCUGGGCUACCGUGUCUAACAACGCCUUAUUGCACCCGUCUUGAAACACGGACCAAGGAGUCUAUUGCCUAUGCGAGUGUUUGGGUGGCAAGCCCAUACGCGCAGUGAAAGCACACGGUUCGAACCUUCGGGGGCAGAACCGGCCGAACUCUCCAGGGAGUAUUGAGCAAGCAGAGGUGAUGGGACCCGAAAGAUGGUGAACUAUGCCUGAAUAGGGUGAAGCCAGAGGAAACUCUGGUGGAGGCUCGCAGCGGUUCUGACGUGCAAAUCGAUCGUCGAAUUGG
rnacentral:rRNA from 1 species